UUGCUCAUGAAACUGCAGUGCUUGUGUCUGAUGACUUGCCAUACGAUUUCAUCGCUCUGCAUCUCUAGUCACUGCAAUUGCUUUUCAAUUGAGAUUUAUAGAUACAGGUGUGUGUAUGUAUAGGUUUGUGUCAGAGUUUGGCGGAGAUGAAAAGGGGGGUAACGAGGGGUUUUAAUUAGGGUUUAUGCUGAGCCGUUGCUGCUCAGUAUUUCCAUUGAUUUUAUUAGAGAUUGUAUAAUAGUUAUNUAAUCUACAGAUACAUAUAAACAUACUCAAGCUAGCAACCGCCAAUAUAACGACAUUUCUAACUAAACUAACAAAAACUAACAACAAAUGCAAAGAAAUGCAAACCAAACCUAAUAAAAUCACAAAUAACUACCUUCAUGAUCUCGAAUAGUAGCAUAUCGACUAUUAGCAAGCGGACACGAGCUCCGAUUACAAGUCCCGGUAACAUUAUACGGAUUUCGACAGAAAAUCCCAGUUUCAAUCCUGUAAAAACAAACACAAACACAAACAUAAACAAUCAACACAAACGCCUCUAAAGCAAAACAAAGCAGACUCAAUCAAAAAUCGAUCAAAUUAAUUCAAAAAUCACAGAAAUUAGGGUUCAUACUUGCUCAUGAAACUGCAGUGCUUGUGUCUGAUGACUUGCCAUACGAUUUCAUCGCUCUGCAUCUCUAGUCACUGCAAUUGCUUUUCAAUUGAGAUUUAUAGAUACAGGUGUGUGUAUGUAUAGGUUUGUGUCAGAGUUUGGCGGAGAUGAAAAGGGGGGUAACGAGGGGUUUUAAUUAGGGUUUAUGCUGAGCCGUUGCUGCUCAGUAUUUCCAUUGAUUUUAUUAGAGAUUGUAUAAUAGU
rnacentral:lncRNA from 1 species